rnacentral:rRNA from 1 species
AUACGGAGGGUGCAAGCGUUAUUCGGAAUCACUGGGCGUAAAGGACGCGUAGGCGGGUUGGCAAGUCAGAUGUGAAAUCCUACAGCUUAACUGUAGAAAUGCAUUUGAAACUGCUAACCUAGAGUAUGGGAGGGGGAGAUGGAAUUAGUGGUGUAGGGGUAAAAUCCGUAGAUAUCACUAGGAAUACCGAAAGCGAAGGCGAUCUCCUGGAACAUAACUGACGCUAAGGCGUGAAAGCGUGGGGAGCAAACAGGAUUAGAAACCCGAGUAGUCC